GUGAGGAAUUUUCCGCAAUGGGCGAAAGCCUGACGGAGCAAUGCCGCGUGAAGGAUGAAGGCCUAUGGGUUGUAAACUUCUUUUCUCAGAAAAGAAUUAUGACGGUAUCUGAGGAAUAAGCAUCGGCUAACUCUGUGCCAGCAGCCGCGGUAAGACAGAGGAUGCAAGCGUUAUCCGGCAUGAUUGGGCGUAAAGCGUCUGUAGGUUGUUUAAAAAGUAUUCUGUCAAAGAUUAGGGCUUAACCCUAGAUAGGCAGAAUAAACUUUUAAGCUAGAGUUUGGUAGAGGCAGAGGGAAUUCCCAGUGGAGCGGUGAAAUGCGUAGAUAUCGGGAGGAACACCAAAGGCGAAGGCACUCUGCUGGGCCAAUACUAACACUGAGAGACGAAAGCGAGGGGAGCAAAUGGGAUUAGAAACCCCAGUAGUCA
rnacentral:rRNA from 1 species